AUUGAACGCUGGCGGCAUGCCUUACACAUGCAAGUCGAACGGCAGCACGGGAGCAAUCCUGGUGGCGAGUGGCGAACGGGUGAGUAAUGUAUCGGAACGUACCUUUCAGUGGGGGAUAACGUAGCGAAAGUUACGCUAAUACCGCAUAUUCUGUGAGCAGGAAAGCAGGGGAUCGCAAGACCUUGCGCUGAUUGAGCGGCCGAUAUCAGAUUAGCUAGUUGGUGAGGUAAAGGCUCAUCAAGGCGACGAUCUGUAGCGGGUCUGAGAGGAUGAUCCGCCACACUGGAACUGAGACACGGUCCAGACUCCUACGGGAGGCAGCAGUGGGGAAUUUUGGACAAUGGGCGCAAGCCUGAUCCAGCCAUGCCGCGUGAGUGAAGAAGGCCU
rnacentral:rRNA from 1 species